rnacentral:rRNA from 1 species
AGAGUUUGAUCAUGGCUCAGAUUGAACGCUGGCGGCAGGCCUAACACAUGCAAGUCGAACGGUAACAGGAAACAGCUUGCUGUUUCGCUGACGAGUGGCGGACGGGUGAGUAAUGUCUGGGAAACUGCCUGAUGGAGGGGGAUAACUACUGGAAACGGUAGCUAAUACCGCAUAACGUCGCAAGACCAAAGAGGGGGACCUUCGGGCCUCUUGCCAUCGGAUGUGCCCAGAUGGGAUUAGCUUGUUGGUGGGGUAACGGCUCACCAAGGCGACGAUCCCUAGCUGGUCUGAGAGGAUGACCAGCCACACUGGAACUGAGACACGGUCCAGACUCCUACGGGAGGCAGCAGUGGGGAAUAUUGCACAAUGGGCGCAAGCCUGAUGCAGCCAUGCCGCGUGUAUGAAGAAGGCCUUCGGGUUGUAAAGUACUUUCAGCGGGGAGGAAGGGAGUAAAGUUAAUACCUUUGCUCAUUGACGUUACCCGCAGAAGAAGCACCGGCUAACUCCGUGCCAGCAGCCGCGGUAAUACGGAGGGUGCAAGCGUUAAUCGGAAUUACUGGGCGUAAAGCGCACGCAGGCGGUUUGUUAAGUCAGAUGUGAAAUCCCCGGGCUCAACCUGGGAACUGCAUCUGAUACUGGCAAGCUUGAGUCUCGUAGAGGGGGGUAGAAUUCCAGGUGUAGCGGUGAAAUGCGUAGAGAUCUGGAGGAAUACCGGUGGCGAAGGCGGCCCCCUGGACGAAGACUGACGCUCAGGUGCGAAAGCGUGGGGAGCAAACAGGAUUAGAUACCCUGGUAGUCCACGCCGUAAACGAUGUCGACUUGGAGGUUGUGCCCUUGAGGCGUGGCUUCCGGAGCUAACGCGUUAAGUCGACCGCCUGGGGAGUACGGCCGCAAGGUUAAAACUCAAAUGAAUUGACGGGGGCCCGCACAAGCGGUGGAGCAUGUGGUUUAAUUCGAUGCAACGCGAAGAACCUUACCUGGUCUUGACAUCCACAGAACCCUGUAGAGAUACGGGGGUGCCUUCGGGAACUGUGAGACAGGUGCUGCAUGGCUGUCGUCAGCUCGUGUUGUGAAAUGUUGGGUUAAGUCCCGCAACGAGCGCAACCCUUAUCCUUUGUUGCCAGCGGUCCGGCCGGGAACUCAAAGGAGACUGCCAGUGAUAAACUGGAGGAAGGUGGGGAUGACGUCAAGUCAUCAUGGCCCUUACGACCAGGGCUACACACGUGCUACAAUGGCGCAUACAAAGAGAAGCGACCUCGCGAGAGCAAGCGGACCUCAUAAAGUGCGUCGUAGUCCGGAUUGGAGUCUGCAACUCGACUCCAUGAAGUCGGAAUCGCUAGUAAUCGUGGAUCAGAAUGCCACGGUGAAUACGUUCCCGGGCCUUGUACACACCGCCCGUCACACCAUGGGAGUGGGUUGCAAAAGAAGUAGGUAGCUUAACCUUCGGGAGGGCGCUUACCACUUUGUGAUUCAUGACUGGGGUGAAGUCGUAACAAGGUAACCGUAGGGGAACCUGCGGUUGGAUCACCU